UCUUUAUGGGGUGACUGCGUACCUUUUGUAUAAUGGGUCAGCGACUUAUAUUCUGUAGCAAGGUUAACCGAAUAGGGGAGCCGAAGGGAAACCGAGUCUUAACUGGGCGUUAAGUUGCAGGGUAUAGACCCGAAACCCGGUGAUCUAGCCAUGGGCAGGUUGAAGGUUGGGUAACACUAACUGGAGGACCGAACCGACUAAUGUUGAAAAAUUAGCGGAUGACUUGUGGCUGGGGGUGAAAGGCCAAUCAAACCGGGAGAUAGCUGGUUCUCCCCGAAAGCUAUUUAGGUAGCGCCUCGUGAAUUCAUCUCCGGGGGUAGAGCACUGUUUCGGCAAGGGGGUCAUCCCGACUUACCAACCCGAUGCAAACUGCGAAUACCGGAGAAUGUUAUCACGGGAGACACACGGCGGGUGCUAACGUCCGUCGUGAAGAGGGAAACAACCCAGACCGCCAGCUAAGGUCCCAAAGUCAUGGUUAAGUGGGAAACGAUGUGGGAAGGCCCAGACAGCCAGGAUGUUGGCUUAGAAGCAGCCAUCAUUUAAAGAAAGCGUAAUAGCUCACUGGUCGAGUCGGCCUGCGCGGAAGAUGUAACGGGGCUAAACCAUGCACCGAAGCUGCGGCAGCGACACUAUGUGUUGUUGGGUAGGGGAGCGU
rnacentral:rRNA from 1 species